GUAGGUGGCAAGCGUUGUCCGGAAUUAUUGGGCGUAAAGCGCGCGCAGGCGGUUCUUUAAGUCUGAUGUGAAAGCCCACGGCUCAACCGUGAAGGGUCAUUGGAAACUGGAGAACUUGAGUACAGAAGAGGAAAGCGGAAUUCCACGUGUAGCGGUGAAAUGCGUAGAGAUGUGGAGGAACACCAGUGGCGAAGGCGGCUUUCUGGUCUGUAACUGACGCUGAGGCGCGAAAGCGUGGGGAGCAAACAGGAUUAGAUACCCUGGUAGUCCACGCCGUAAACGAUGAGUGCUAAGUGUUAGGGGGUUUCCGCCCCCCUUAGUGCUGCAGCUAACGCAUUAAGCACCCCCGCCUGGGGAGUACGGCCGCAAGGCUG
rnacentral:rRNA from 1 species